GAGAGGAAACAAACUCUCUCUUUCUCUCUUUCUCUCUUGGGGUUUCUUUAAGUGGACAAAAGUUUUCCUUCAAGUGGUAUCAGAGCCUAAGUCUAGUGUUUGGUGAAUCCUUUUGGGUUUUGUGAUUUCAUAAUCUGUGAUAUAAAUGUUGUAAAAGUUACAGGCUUUAUUUUGCCUGGGAGGUUUUGCAACAAGAAUAUAGAGGUGAUAAAAAGGUAAGAAAAGUAAAACUUCAUUCUCUUAGACGUGAUUUUGAAAAUGUACAUGCAUAAGACUAGAGAGACAUGCUGAUGUAGCCAUAGAGACAGCAUUUCAGUCACUCAAUUUUUUGUCUAGUAGUCAGUCAAACUAUUACAAAUAGAAGGGUGGAAAGGAAACUACAAGAAAUAGGAAAGAAAAGGAAAUAUAAGUGUGAAAGCCAACAGUGGAAACAAUAGUGGAAAUGGAAAUAUAAAAACACUCUACAUGAUUUGUGGUAAGCUGCAUGCUGGAGAAUGU
rnacentral:lncRNA from 1 species